rnacentral:lncRNA from 1 species
UGAAGUGUUUGAAGAAAGGUCUUGUGUCAUGGGUAAGAAAACUUUGGGCAACAAAGGGCGUGAGAGGGAGAAUGGGAUUGUGACCGAGGGCGAAGUCGAUUUUAAAGAGGAGGAAAAGAAGAGGGAUGUUGAUUUAAGGGCCAGUGAAAAUGAAGUUGAAAUGAAGGAUUAUGUUGAUGAGAAUGAGAGGAAGAUAAAUGAGGUUGGUGGUAAUGAUUUUGAAUUUGGUGAUAGUCGAAAUGGGGUUAUUGUAGAGGGUCAUGUGGAUACGAACAAUACUGGAAGUGAAAAGGAGAG